CCUAUUUGGCUUAAGUCUUGACCUCUAAUUGGAGAGUAUAACUUAUCGUCAACAAGUGGAACAAGAGUUUAUAUUGAUUUGGACAUUCCUGAGACUACUAAAUUCAAAGAUCAGCUUGUGGAAAAUAACCAACCAAUAGUACAAAUGCCAAAGCAAUUUAAACCACAAGUGACAAUUCAAGAAGAGAUGAACAUCAACAGAAGUAACACAAGCAACCAAAUGAUUCUGUGGUGUAUAUGUCAUUUGAGAGUGGUG